CAGUAGCCACGGUAACACGUAGGGUGCAAGCGUUAAUCGGAAUUACUGGGCGUAAAGCGUGCGCAGGCGGUUUGUUAAGACAGAUGUGAAAUCCCCGGGCUCAACCUGGGAACUGCAUUUGUGACUGGCAAGCUAGAGUGUGGCAGAGGGGGGUGGAAUUCCGCGUGUAGCAGUGAAAUGCGUAGAUAUGCGGAGGAACACCGAUGGCGAAGGCAGCCCCCUGGGCCAACACUGACGCUCAUGCACGAAAGCGUGGGGAGCAAACAGGAUUAGAUACCCCCGUAGUCCCUGUCUCUUAUAC
rnacentral:rRNA from 1 species